rnacentral:misc_RNA from 1 species
GAUAAGAACGUAGCGAAAUGCGAUAAGUAAUGUGAAUUGCAGAAUUCAGUGAAUCAUCGAAUCUUUGAACGCACAUUGCGCCCCCUGGUAUUCCGGGGGGCAUGCCUGUUCGAGCGUCAUUUCACCACUCAAGCCUCGCUUGGUAUUGGGCAACGCGGUCCGCCGCGUGCCUCAAAUCGACCGGCUGGGUCUUCUGUCCCCUAAGCGUUGUGGAAACUAUUCGCUAAAGGGUGUUCGGGAGGCUACGCCGUAAAACAACCCCAUUUCUAAGGUUGACCUCGGAUCAGGUAGGGAUACCCGCUGAACUUAAGCAUAUCAAUAAGCGGAGGA